GAUAAACAACAUCCAAGCUAACACACCAGGGCAAAAAACUUUUAUGUCACUAAGGCUUAAAGACUCGAGGUAAUUUAUUUCUUUUAGCAUUCUGCAUGUUUUGUCUGCAAUUUUUGUUUGUAAUCCAUAUCCAAUAAACCUACAUUGAAUAUGUUAUUUUCAUGAUUAAAAAUAAUGGUAAUCUUAUUAACUGCACCUUAUGGAAAAACUAUGGGUCUAAGUUUUUGGAUUACUACAAUGAUGUCAAUAACAGUGGCACUACUGCAAUUGUUCUUACACAUGCAAUGAUAAAGGACUAUCAAGGUUUUAUAUGUCUGAUUUUUUCCACACAUAUUUGAAUCCAUCAAUCAUGGCACUAGUACCAUAAUACUAUUUUUCGUUUACAGUUUCAAACGGAUGGAGUGGUUCUAAAUUGCUGAUUAAUGAAGAUAUUUCAGAUAUUAAAGAAUUUUUGUCUAAGUAAUAAAUAUCUAAUUUAAAUCCAUUUCAAAAUACUAUUAUAUUCUGAAUACGUCUGAUAUUUUUGGAUUGUAUUUAGGAGACACUUUGUGUUACUGUAGCAACUACUUUGAAGUUUCCUGUAUCAAAAUAUGGUUGGUUCUAUUAUGGAUGGACACAAUGUUCAUUAAAAGCAACUGAUCUUAACAAUCCCUAUUAGUGUGCAUGUGGAGAAGAUGUCAAACAAGUUAUACCAUGGUUUGAUUUUUAAAGACAUUUUUAAUCUUUUUACUAUAUUUGUAUCUUAUGUUUUGUUAGUUGUAUCACCCGAUAAUAUUAUUUGUUUGAUAUAAAAGGUACAAAGUAGAGAUGUACGUUACUAAUGGUGAUUCAAAGUUUUGAUUUGUGUUUUAGGAUGCUGAUUGUGCUGAAAUUAUUGAAAAGACAACUGAUAAUAUGCUUAAGUCAAUGUUAGCGGUAUAAAUUUACUACGUCGUAUUCAUUUUUAAUGAUAUAUGUGUAUCUGUUUUGUUGAAUGUUUUAACAUUCCAUUACUCGGAUGGAGAAGAUGAUCCCAUGAUUUAUCCUGACGAGCUUGAUUUGCUUUUGGGAAAAAAUAUGGAUUUUAGAGUUAAGGUUCAGUCAAAUUUUUGCCAAGAUUCAGUUUGGAAGCUUUCUUUGGAUAAAGAAUUUGUCAAAUAAAUUGAAAUUGAUUACAUAACUGAUAAGGCUCAGACUCAAUCUGUAAUUAUGAAUGCAAGCCAGGAAAAUAUUGACCAUUAUGUACAAUCAUUGUCUGCAUGUGGAGAAAAUGAUUCAGAUUCAAACUGUGCAGCUACUCCAUCUAAGGAUGUUUUUGUUGCUCAGUAUGUUGAAGAUGUUGAUUGUGAAGUUUUUGGAGCUACGCAAUUUUCAAUGAUCAAACCUUCGAAGAAAGUAAAGAUCAAAACAAAUGCUUAAUUUAAUAUAGGGCCAGAAAGAGAAAUGUAUGUUUUUUCUAUUCUUCUUGAACAAGGAAGUUAAUUGUAGCAAGUAUUCA